CUCAGUAACACGUGGCCAAACUACCCUGUGGAUGGGAAUAAUCUCGGGAAACUGAGGCUAAUUCCCAAUAAUGCUCCACCCCUGGAAUGGGUGGAGCUGGAAACGCUACGGCGCCACAGGAUGUGGCUGCGGUCGAUUAGGUAGACGGUGGGGUAACGGCCCACCGUGCCAAUAAUCGGUACGGGUUGUGAGAGCAAGAGCCCGGAGACGGAAUCUGAGACAAGAUUCCGGGCCCUACGGGGCGCAGCAGGCGCGAAACCUUUACACUGUACGCAAGUGCGAUAAGGGGACUCCGAGUGUGAAGGCAUAGAGCCUUCACUUUUGUACACCGUAAGGUGGUGCACGAAUAAGGGCUGGGCAAGACCGGUGCCAGCCGCCGCGGUAAUACCGGCAGCCCGAGUGAUGGCCGAUAUUAUUGGGCCUAAAGCGUCCGUAGCUGGCCGGACAAGUCCGUUGGGAAAUCUGUCCGCUUAACGGGCAGGCGUCCAGCGGAAACUGUUCGGCUUGGGACCGGAAGACCUGAGGGGUACGUCCGGGGUAGGAGUGAAAUCCUGUAAUCCUGGACGGACCACCGGUGGCGAAAGCGCCUCAGGAGGACGGAUCCGACAGUGAGGGACGAAAGCUAGGGUCUCGAACCGGAUUAGAUACCCGGGUAGUCCUAGCUGUAAACGAUGCCCGCUAGGUGUGGCGCAGGCUACGAGCCUGCGCUGUGCCGUAGGGAAGCCGAGAAGCGGGCCGCCUGGGAAGUACGUCUGCAAGGAUGAAACUUAAAGGAAUUGGCGGGGGAGCACUACAACCGGAGGAGCCUGCGGUUUAAUUGGACUCAACGCCGGACAUCUCACCAGCUCCGACAGUAGUAAUGACGGUCAGGUUGAUGAC
rnacentral:rRNA from 1 species